UACGUAGGGUGCGAGCGUUGUCCGGAAUUAUUGGGCGUAAAGGGCUCGUAGGCGGUCUGUCACGUCGGGAGUGAAAACCCAGGGCUCAACCCUGGGCCUGCUUCCGAUACGGGCAGACUAGAGGUAUGCAGGGGAGAAUGGAAUUCCUGGUGUAGCGGUGAAAUGCGCAGAUAUCAGGAGGAACACCGGUGGCGAAGGCGGUGGGCUGGGCCGGUACUGACGCUGAGGAGCGAAAGCGUGGGGAGCGAACAGG
rnacentral:rRNA from 1 species